GUUUUUCUAAAAAUCAUACCUAAAUCCAAGAAGAUGAUCAACAGGCUCUGCAUUUCGAAACCAAGUGAUUUUAGGAGGAGGUACACCGACAGCAUCGCAUGGAAAUUUACUGCGCGAGAAAGUAAAUGCACAACAGGUUGUUGUUCGAAGAAAGCUCGAUGUGUGCGCAAACGGUAAGUGUACAAGUUUAGCGAAGUAUUCUUCCUGGUGAGAUGGCGAGAAAAAUGAGACAAGCUGAUUACCUCGUUUUCUUCAACGCACCGAAAUAAGACGGAACAUUAAUGCGGUCAGGCUGAAAUAAGAAGCGGCAGCUUCAUAUGCGCUCCUUAUAGCAUCUCAAAGAGGGAUACUCGAAGAGCUUUAAUAAGUGGAGCACAACGGGUGCUGCUUUUGGGUCCUGCAUACACUGUAGCAUAUUAUUCCAUGACGAGAUGUCAGUACUUGACUACCACACCGUGUAACAUGGCAUAACAGCAUGCAUUAAUGUGACAAUGUAAUCAUUUGCAUAGCAUCGCGAUGUCAUCAGUAAAACUAACUAACUGUAAAGCUUAAACGCGGUAUAAUUAGGAAAUUUUAAAAUUAGGAAGCGCAUCUGUAUCAGCAAAGGCUUGUAUACAUGCUACUUUGUAUAUUUUCAAAAAGGAUAGUACAAGUAAUGACAGAAAAUCAAUUUAUCAUACAUCUUCAAAUUUUAUAAAAAUCUACUUCAUUUCUAUUUUAUCAAGAUGAAAAGAUAUUUUUGUAUAAAUCGAACUUUUAAUACGCUAGAUAUUUUGUAAUAUUCUACAUUCAAUAUUCAAUCCUUUUUCAUAAUUUUAACACGAAAUUAUAUAAUGUAAACGACCGAAUACCGCAAACUCAUUCAAAUACAUCUGAGAAUUGCCGUAUUCGCCCCGCAUUUUAUGCAGCCUCUUUUGAAUUUCCGAUUCGAAAAGUUCGCGUCAGCGUGAACGAUAUUCAAGAUAUUAAACUGUGGGAAAAGAACGGAAAAUUUUUCAACGACCUAGAAGCUGCUCGAGUUCUAAGGAAUAUUUUGAGACGUUGAAAAUAUUACAUAUUUUCGUGUUCACAAAGCAUUCCGUGUCAAACUCGACGGUAUCUUUAUGUAUUUUCAUAUCUCUUUUCUUCAGUACCUUAAAAAUUGUCCUAUUCUUUUUAAAUAAAAUACUAAAACUAUUAAAAACGUAUCAAAAAGGUGUAUAAAAGCACAUAAAAAUAUUUGACUGGGUGCAAAAUGUGAAGUUGGAGUUUCUAUUAAAGUUCACCCUUUUGUCUACAAAACGUAUGCGAAUAGUUAAUUAUAUAGCAACGUGUUUUGCUGACUGGUAACCAACCAGAAUUCGAUCAAUAAGUUGAAUAAAACUAAUUGCUAUUUUUUUUAAUAUUAAAAUACAAAUGAAAAUCAAUACGAUAUUAAUCUUCUUCUGAAUUCGCAAAAUUAAAAUUUAUACACGAUAUUCACGAUGUCAAGUAAUUUUAAUAAUUCACAGCAGUAUUUUGUAAAAUUUAAGGAUGUUUUAAAUAACAUGAUUCGAACGUAUACAUUAUAAAUAUAUAUUACUUCGAACUGUUGAAUUUUUAAUUCUCUUUUUAUUUCAAUGGAAUAGUUCCAAAAACUAUUCAUGUACCAAUGAAUAUUCGCAGUCACUAAUGAUUCCUUAUAUUGAUCGUAUCAAUUACUCACCCCACAAGGAGGUGCAUGACUUUUGUUUCACCAAUUUGAGCCAAAUUUCGCGUAUAAUCAAUUUAACACGGUAUACAAAUAAUUUAAUAAUUUAUUAUCUAAAAUUAUACUAUCCAACCAUAUGCAAUGCGGUAUAUUAUUCAAAUAUUUUGAAAUAAAAUACCCAUACCUUUUGAUUUAACAUUAUAAAGCCUAAAUCUUUAACAUCUGCAAAGAUACAGAUCAUUAUUAUAAUACAAUAUCUUUCAUAAUUUUUUCUACAAAAACAAACUAAUCUUUAUUAUUGAUAUAAAAUCCCAAUCAGUUCAAGGCACCAUAAGUUCUCGUUAUUUUUUGCCAAACAACAGCAGAAGAACGGUAAUCAACGAAGCAUGCAAAUGAAAUAGAUUUUCCGGUGAUUCGUCCAUCAUUGUCGGCGAAGCAGCGUACAACGAGCUCUAUGAAAGGAAAAAUCAGGUUUAUUCAGUACGACAAUUGCUGUACGAUUUAUCCAGCACAUGCUCGUGUUAUCGUGGCUGUACAAAAGCAACGGUACACGUUACUGAACUACUGAACCCCUAUUUUAAGCACCGCAGCUGUCACACGAAAUACGGUAAGAGAGAGGGUAUGCGUUUACGCACAAGGGCAAGACUGGAGCCCGUGGAUAAUCUGCUUUUACUAACAGCAUAUUACUAAGUUGAGGAUAGACCGGAUCUGCUCGAGAGACGCUCUCCUUGCUCCCUAAAAAUAUGCGCGCUCUCCACAAGGGUUGAAGUUUUCACUGAAAGUGAAUUCGACCUCGGGUGGAUCACUUUCCCUGUAUCAUUGCCGUGUUAGAUAUCUAAACAGGAGUUAAACACAUAAAUGUUUUUAUUACAGACUUCGAAAUUGAAGGGUUUCGAUUGGAGAUAUUUUAUAACUUCUAGAUAUAUUUUCAAAUUGAUUUCAGAUUUUAUCAUAACAUUCGUGUCUCGUUACAAUGCUAAUGAAAUGUCAAGUGUUGUAUAACACAAAUAUUCACGACUACACUGCGGAUUUUUUUGAAUGUAUGAAAAAUUGUAAUGUGCAAAAAUAUACCAAAUAUACGUAACAAUGACAAAUAUAUAAAAAUCCAGCUUUCAUAUAUUCAUUUAACUGCUUCACUUCUAUCGUCAAUUAAUCUGCUCACAUUUUCCAUUAUAAACCAACAAGCAUCUAUACAAACA